rnacentral:rRNA from 1 species
AUACUGAGGGUGCAAGCGUUAAUCGGAAUUACUGGGCGUAAAGCGCGCGUAGGCGGUUAAAUAAGUCAGAUGAGAAAUCCCUGGGCUCAACCUAGGAACUGCAUCUGAAACUGUUUAACUAGAGUUUUGGAGAGGUAAGUGGAAUUUCCGGUGUAGCGGUGAAAUGCAUAGAGAUCGGAAGGAACACCAGUGGCGAAGGCGACUUACUGGCCAAAAACUGACGCUGAGGUGCGAAAGCGUGGGUAGCGAACAGGAUUAGAAACCCUAGUAGUCC